UCCGUAGGGUGAACCUGCGGAGGGAUCAUUACCGAGUUUACAACUCCCAAACCCCUGUGAACAUACCUUUAUGUUGCCUCGGCGGAUCAGCCCGCGCCCCGUAAAACGGGACGGCCCGCCGCAGGAACCACAAAACUCUGAUUUUAGUGUAACUUCUGAGUCUAAAAAACAAAUAAAUCAAAACUUUCAACAACGGAUCUCUUGGUUCUGGCAUCGAUGAAGAACGCAGCAAAAUGCGAUAAGUAAUGUGAAUUGCAGAAUUCAGUGAAUCAUCGAAUCUUUGAACGCACAUUGCGCCCGCCAGUAUUCUGGCGGGCAUGCCUGUUCGAGCGUCAUUUCAACCCUCAAGCCCCCGGGUUUGGUGUUGGGGAUCGGGCUGUACUCCAGCCCGGCCCCGAAAUCUAGUGGCGGUCUCGCUGCAGCCUCCAUUGCGUAGUAGCUAACACCUCGCAACUGGAACGCGGCGCGGCCAAGCCGUUAAACCCCCAACUUCUGAAUGUUGACCUCGGAUCAGGUAGGAUUACCCGCUGAACUUAAGCAUAUCAAUAAGCGGAGGAA
rnacentral:rRNA from 1 species